rfam:Triticum aestivum genome assembly, contig: Triticum_aestivum_CS42_TGACv1_scaffold_062339_1DL
GUACUACUCCCUCCGAUCCAUAUUACUUGUUGCUCAAAUGGAUGUAUCUAGAUGUAUUUCAUUGCUAGAUACAUCCAUUUGAGCGACAAGUAAUAUGGAUCAGAGGGAGUACCAC